rnacentral:rRNA from 1 species
GACGAACGCUGGCGGCGUGCCUAAUACAUGCAAGUCGAACGCAGUGGGGACGGUUUAGUAACACGUGGGUAACCUCCCAUCAGAGGGGAUAACACUUGGCAACAGGUGCUAAACCGCUACUGAUGGAUGGACCCGCGGUGCAUUAGCUAGUGGGUGAGGUAACGGCUCACCAAGGCCACGAUGCAUAGACGACCUGCGAGGGGGAUCGGCCACACGGGGACGGAGACAAGGACCAGACUCCUACGGGAGGCAGCAGUAGGGAAUCUUCGGAAAUGGACGAAAGUCUGACCGAGCAACGCCGCGUGAGUGAAGAAGGUUUUCGGAUCGUAAAACUCUGUUGUUAGAGAAGCGGUAUCUAACCAGAAAGCCACGGCUAACUACGUGCCAGCAGCCGCGGUAAUUC